GUAUCACAUUAGUUAAAAGAGGCCCUGCGGGGGGAAGAAGGUGAGGGACGUUUUAACUGGAUAGCAGUACUGUCUGGGUUUAGAGACUCCACAGAAGACCCGAGUGACGGACGAGAGUCGAGUUGGACCUUCCGGUCGGGAAUCACGCUUUUUUGAAGGCAAUUCGUUGGAGUCGAAAUCGCAGACGCAAGAUAAGCAGAUCGCAAGCUGUCAUCUGUGAGGUUUUCAAUAUCACUCCAUUUGUGUUUCUGAGCAAGAACGGCCUUCUGACGGGCAACAUCUUCAAGGUCUGCUGUCAAGCGUCUAAACUUGGACACCCAUAUGUCUUUGUCGGCUAUGUCAGCCAGUUCCAUCUCAAGAUCAGGUUGACUCACACCUGCCAAUGCAGUCGUAUUCAGUAGGGAAGGAUCGAUGCUUAAGGGAGUGACCGGGAAGGAUAAUGUGUUUUUUUCCUCUCUGAACUCACAGAAGCGUUUCCCAAACGAUGUUUGCAUUGCGAUGAUUGCAGAAUGUAAAUACUCCGAAAUUAUCAUGUCGUGACCUUGUUUGAACUCUCUCAAAUUGGGGAAGUGAGACAAAGUGCCUUUCUGUAAAUCUCUGGCAAGCACUGUCAACUUGCGCUCGAAUGCCAAAACAUCCUCCAACAUGUGCAGGGCUGUACGUCCUUUCCCCUGAAGAGCUGUGUUCAGCGUGUUCAGGUGCGCUGUCAUGUCUACCAUGAAGUGUAGCUUUUCCAGCCACUCUGGCUGUUCCAGCUCAGGAAAGGUGAGCCCUUUGCUGCCCAGGAAAGUUUUCACUUCUUCCAGACACGCGACAAAGCGUUUCAGCACCUUCCGUCUGGACAGCCAGCGAUAAAAACACGUUGUAGCGGUGUCAGUAAACUGCAGUCAAAGAUAGCUUUAUUCGAACUAAACAGCCUUGCUUUUAAGCCUCCCUCAACCCAGCCCCCAUGGACGCAGAUGCUGCAAAAGACGCGUACUCACAAACCCCCGUAGGCUAUCUCCCUUAGCCGGAAUGCUGGCUAAUUGUGAGCCGUUUCGGAUGUGGCAGGAAAUGUGUCGCUACACUUAGGUUGUACAAGAUCACCAUAAUUACAUUUCAAAAGCUAACAAACUAACAUAAAAUACAUUUUAAUUAAAUACUGACCAAUUAUUUCCCAAAGCCACAGGGAGCCGCAGCACAGAGGUGAAAGAGCCACAAAUGGCUCGGGAGCCGCAGGUUGCCGACCCCCGGUCUAGACAGAAUAGAUGUGGAAAGGAUGUUUCCUAUGUUGGGAGAUUCCUGGACAAGAGGGCAGAGACUCAGGAGAGAGGGGUGUUCAUUCAAAACAGAUGUGGAGAAAUUUCUUAAGCCAGAAGGUAGUGAAUUUGUGAAAUUAAUUGCCAAGGGGAGCUGUGGAAUCUAGGUCAUUGGGUGUAUUUAAAGUAGAGACUGAUUGAUUGGACAUGGCAUCAAAUGUUACAGAGAAGGCUGGGAAAUGUGGUUGAGGAGGAGAAAAAAAAGGAUCAGCCAUGAUUAAAUGGCAGAGCAGACUCAAUGGGCCAAAUGGCCUAACUCUGCUCCUAUGUCUUAUGGUCUAAAAUGCCAGUGCAAUCCCUCUUCCAUUUUUAAGUAUCUUGUAAUUGACUGUACUAAUUUGUUUUUAUCCCUGCAUUCUCGAUGUGACAAUGCUUGGACCAUGUCUUAUCAGUGAUGCACAACACAUAGACAACAAUCUCAUAAUUCCUCCUUUUUAAAUAUUUCAAAGGUUUAAGAAUGAGCACAAGAUCACAUUUUAUUAAUUCUUCAGUAGACUUUUCAACAGAGAGAGUGGUGGGGGCAUGGAAUGCACUGCAAGUAAUGGUGGUAGAAGUGGAUACAAUAGGGUCUUUUAAGAGACACUUAGGUACAUAGAACUUAGAAAAAUAGAGGGCCAGGCAGUAGGGCAAUUUUAGGCAGUUUCUAGAGUAGGUUACGUGAUCGGCACAACAUUGUUGGCCAAAGGGCCUGUAAGUUGCUGUAGAUUUCUAUGUUCUAGGAUAUGAGCACUUCUUGGCUUCUGAUGAAAAAAAAACUGUGACAAUUCAAA